rnacentral:lncRNA from 1 species
UGACUUACUUCUAGGACUUUAAAUUGGAAAGCUUGACCAAUGGUGGCACCAUUUAUUUAUUUAUAUGUUAUUUAUUUAUAUGCUAUUUUUAUUUCACUUUUUCUUUUAGAUUCAGGGUGUACAUAUGCAAGUGUGUUACAAGGUAUACUGCAUGAUGCUGAGGUCUGGGUUUCUAAUGAUCCUAUCGCCCAAGUUGUGAACAUAGUACACAAUAAGUAGUUUUUAAACCCAUACCCACCCCUCCCCUUUUUAGGAGUCCCCAGUGUCUAUUGUUCCUAUCUUUGUGUCCAUGUGUACUCAAUGUUUAGCUCCCACUUAUAAGUGAGAAUAAGCAGUGUUUGGUUUAUUGUUACUGUAUUAAUUUGCUUAGGAUAAUAGCCCCCAGGUGCAUCCAUGUUGCUGUGAAGGAUAUGAUUUCAUUCUUUUUUAUGGCUGGGUAGUAUUCCAUGGUUAUAUGUACCAUAUUUUAUUCAUCUAAUCCACUGUCGAUGAACACCUGGGUUGAUUCCAUGUCAUUGCUAUUGUGAAGGGUCAUGUCAGCCAGUUUCACAGCAGCCUGUUGCAGAGCAGUGAGUAUCGUCCUAGAUAUGAGUAGGAUGACCUGGUCUCCCUGUCCCUCCUUAGCCAGGCAGUGGUUGCAGCUGCAUCAGCCUGAGCUCAGGCUGAAGAUAGGGGACAGUCCAGAGUUAAACUCUCAAAAUAGAGCCUUGGGCUUGGGACCAGAGAGAGCCAGGGACCACCCAGGCUGGCAGCAUGAGCAAGAAGCUGUGGGAAGUGUGGUCCACUUGAGUCUCAGUCUCAACAGAUGAUUGUAGCAGGGGAGCAAGUCCCUGCCUGAGUGUGCAUGAGUGCACCCAUUUUCCUUUCUCUCUCCUUGGAGCAGUGCAAUGGCUGCAACCAUGUCUGUAAAUCUCCAGUAUCUGGGGUCAAAAUGGCACCCAGCUGAGGCUGCUCCAGGCUCAGAUGCCUGCGGAAUUCUGUGUGGUUUCUGUUUCUGGAGCAAUAUCUCUGUGCAAACUUUAGGCAGCUCCACAUGUGCCCUUGCACUUCCUACUUUUGGAGAGACCUGUAGUGCCAACUGUCACAUCCAUAUCUUGUGUCCUAGAUAGUAAAGGAGAAGAUCAAUUGCCAGUGAUGGUCAAUUAUAAGCUAGUUGAAAAAAGUGAUGUGAGGCAAUAGGGACACAAUUAGACUUUCUGGUUUAUAAGAGCAUAAACUUGAAACAAUGCUUUAUCUUUCACUCAGCUCUACCAGAAGUGCCUCAUUACACACCCUCAUUCUCAGGACCAAAUCUAUUUUGAUUAACUUUUAACUAAGAAAAAGAGCUGUCAACAUGAAUCCUUAAAAUUAUUUGUGUCUCUAAAAGACAGCUGAACUGUAGUAAAUAUUUAAUACUAAAAGCACAAAAUGGACAAAUGUUCAAAUUAAUAAAUUUUUCUUCUGACUCCCAUUAAAGAAAAUAAUAAAUCCAGAAUUUAUGAAGCAAGUUUUGUUUAAGCAUCCUUCAAAAAUACACUGUAGAUGCUUUACUUUAUUUUUCUAAAUUUUGCAUUUUAGAAACUUUUAAAACUAUAGAAAUAGUGAAAGAAUAGUGUAAUGAACUCCUACAUAUUUUUAAUUUACACUUAUUCAUUAUUAAUAUUUUGUCACCAUUACUUAUUUACCUAUGUCAUCUAUCUACAGAUAUAUAUAUUUCUGGCCAAAUUGUUUGAAAGUUGAGUGCAGACAUCAGAACAGUUCAUAUCUAAAUACUUCAACCCAUAUCUCAUAAGAACAAAGCCAUUCUUACACAUGUGCUAUCUUUACUAGGUAUUUUUCAAGAUUGUUGAAAGGAUAGAAUGAUAUAAUAUGUUUAAAAGUACCUUUC